rnacentral:rRNA from 1 species
CUACGGGAGGCUCCAGUGAGGAAUAUUGCACAAUGGGGGGAACCCUGAUGCAGCAACGCCGCGUGGAGGAUGACGCAUUUCGGUGUGUAAACUCCUUUUAUAUGUCAAGAAAAUGACGGUAGCAUAUGAAUAAGCACCGGCUAACUCCGUGCCAGCAGCCGCGGUAAUACGGAGGGUGCAAGCGUUACUCGGAAUCACUGGGCGUAAAGGACGCGUAGGCGGGUUGGAAAGUAGGUGGUGAAAUCCUACAGCUUAACUGUAGAACUGCACUUGAAACUUCUAAUCUAGAGUAUGGGAGGGGGAGAUGGAAUUAGUGGUGUAGGGGUAAAAUCCGUAGAUAUCACUAGGAAUACCUAAGCGAAGGCGAUCUCCUGGAACAUUACUGACGCUAAGGCGUGAAAGCGUGGGGAGCAAACAGGAUUAGAUACCCUUGUAGUC